UAUUAGCUUUUAGUUUUAUUAUUGAAUUAAAAAUAUUUUAUUACUUUAUUUUCUUAUUACUAAUUGCUAUUAGGUCUUAUUAUAAAUUAUUAGAAAUAUUGUAAUUGAGUUUGUGUUAUCAUAAAUUGUUAAUUUCUAUUAUUAUAAUUGGAAUAUGGUACUAUAAAUUGGUAUGUAUGUAUAUUAUUGUUGGCUUGUUGUUACUUGUUAAAUUAUUAAUUUUCUUAUCUUUUUAUUUUAUUUUUGCAAAGAUGGAAUCGGAAGCAUCUACCGCUGCUAAAACUGACAAUAGCAACAAAGAUCCCGCAUGGAAAUAUGUCCACUUGGUGAAUCCAAACAAUAGAAAUGAUGUUGCUUGUAACUUUUGUAGCAAAGUUACAAAAGGAGGGAUAUUUCGAGCUAAACAGCAUUUAGUUGGAGGAUUUCGAAAUGCUACAAUGUGUAAGAAGUGUCCAAUACAUGUGCGUGAAGAGCUAUGAGAGUAUAUGCAGCAAAAAGCUUCAGCAAAGACCUUAGAUAAAUUGCCUGAUUAUGAGGAUGUUGAAACUCUUGGAGAUGAUGAAGAUGAAGAUUAUGUAAGGAUAAUUCUUGGAGGCUCAAAAGGAAGUAAUACGGUUCAAAAGAAGGCAAGGACAAA
rnacentral:misc_RNA from 1 species